AUUGAACGCUGGCGGCAGGCCUAACACAUGCAAGUCGAGCGGAUGAACGGAGCUUGCUCCUGGAUUCAGCUGCCGACGGGCGGGUAAGGACUAGGUAGCUGACUGGCAGAUGGGGCUAGGGUCCGGACAGGGGAGCUAAUACAGCAUACGUCCAGAGGGAGAACGGGGGGGAUCUUCGGAGCUAACGCUAUCAGAUGAGCCUAGGACGGAUUAGCUAGUUGGUGGGGUAAAGGCGUACCAAGGCGACGAUCCGUAGCUGGUCUGAGAGGAUGAUCAGCCACACUGGAACUGAGACACGGUCCAGACUCCUACGGGAGGCAGCAGUGGGGAAUAUUGGACAAUGGGCGAAAGCCUGAUCCAGCCAUGCCGCGUGUGUGAAGAAGGUCUUCGGAUUGUAAAGCACUUUUAGUAGGGAAGAAGAGCAGUAAGUUAAUACCUUGCUGUCUUGACGUUACCAACAGAAUAAGCACCGGCUAACUUCGUG
rnacentral:rRNA from 1 species